UUAAAUUGAAGAGUUUGAUCAUGGCUCAGAUUGAACGCUGGCGGCAGGCCUAACACAUGCAAGUCGAACGGUAACAGGAAGAAGCUUGCUUCUUUGCUGACGAGUGGCGGACGGGUGAGUAAUGUCUGGGAAACUGCCUGAUGGAGGGGGAUAACUACUGGAAACGGUAGCUAAUACCGCAUAACGUCGCAAGACCAAAGAGGGGGACCUUCGGGCCUCUUGCCAUCGGAUGUGCCCAGAUGGGAUUAGCUUGUUGGUGGGGUAACGGCUCACCAAGGCGACGAUCCCUAGCUGGUCUGAGAGGAUGACCAGCCACACUGGAACUGAG
rnacentral:rRNA from 1 species